UUUCCUUCUCUGUUUGUUUAAAAAUAUGUAGAAACACCAGCAGGUAUUUCCUCCUUCUCUAUCAGGCGCCGAAUGGGCCACUUCUCCCUCCCGAGGCCCAUCCUCUCCUCUCGUGCGUGCGGCAGCCCAGCGCGCCAUUUUCUUCUUUCUUCUGACGCCGUUCCCUCCCCGCGCGUGCUUUCCGCCAGGAAGCAGAGAGAGUGC
rnacentral:lncRNA from 1 species